rnacentral:rRNA from 1 species
GAGCACGUAGGUGGGUUUAGUAAGUCAGAUGUGAAAGCCUCCUGUUCAACGGGAGAAUUGCAUCUGAAACUACUGAUCUUGAGUGUAGGAGGGGAGAAUGGAACUUCUGGUGGAGCGGUGAAAUGCGUAGAUAUCAGAAGGAACGCCGGCGGCGAAAGCGAUUCUCUGGCCUAUUACUGACACUCAGUGUGCGAAAGCAAGGGGAGCAAACGGGAUUAGAUACCCCGGAAGUCCUAGCCGUAAACGAUGGGCACUAAGUAGAGGGGUUU